rnacentral:rRNA from 1 species
UACAGAGGUGGCAAGCGUUGUUCGGAAUUACUGGGCGUAAAGGGCGCGUAGGCGGCCAUCUAAGUCAGACGUGAAAUCCCCCGGCUUAACCUGGGAACUGCGUGUGAUACUGGAUGGCUUGAAUUCGGGAGAGGGAUGCAGAAUUCCAGGUGUAGCGGUGAAAUGCGUAGAUAUCUGGAGGAAUACCGGUGGCGAAGGCGGCAUCCUGGACCGACAUUGACGCUGAGGAGCGAAAGCUAGGGGAGCAAACGGG